GAUGAACGCUGGCGGCGUGCCUAAUACAUGCAAGUCCAACGAACAGACGAGGAGCUUGCUCCUUUGACGUUAGCGGCGGACGGGUGAGUAACACGUGGAUAACCUACCUAUAUGACGGGGAUAACUUCGGAAAACCGGAGCUAAUACCAGAUAACAUGUUGUACCGCAUGGUGCAACAGAGAAAGACGGUUUUGGUGUCAGUUAUAGAUGGAUCCGCGCCGCAUUAGCUAGUUGGUAAGGUAACGGCUUACCAAGGCAACGAUGCGUAGCCGACCUGAGAGGGUGAUCGGCCACACUGGAACUGAGACACGGUCCAGACUCCUACGGGAGGCAGCAGUGGGGAAUAUUGCGCAAUGGGCGAAAGCCUGACGGAGCAAGGCCGCGUGAGUGAAGAAGGUCUUCGGAUCGUAAAACUCUGUUAUUAGGGAAGAACAAAUGUGUAAGUAAAUAUGGACGUUUUGACGGUACCUAAUGAGAAAGCAACGGCUAACUACGUG
rnacentral:rRNA from 1 species